rnacentral:rRNA from 1 species
UUAAGACGUAGUCUGAUGCAGCACGCCGCGUGAGGAUGACACGUCUUCGGUGCGUAAACUUCUUUUAUAUGAGGAAGAUAAUGACGGUAUUAUAUGAAUAAGCACCGGCUAACUCCGUGCCAGCAGCCGCGGUAAU